rnacentral:rRNA from 1 species
AACGAACGCUGGCGGCAGGCCUAACACAUGCAAGUCGAGCGCGCCCUUCGGGGUGAGCGGCGGACGGGUUAGUAACGCGUGGGAACGUGCCCAGAUCUAAGGAAUAGCCACUGGAAACGGUGAGUAAUACCUUAUACGCCCUUCGGGGGAAAGAUUUAUCGGAUUUGGAUCGGCCCGCGUUAGAUUAGGUAGUUGGUGGGGUAAUGGCCUACCAAGCCUACGAUCUAUAGCUGGUUUUAGAGGAUGAUCAGCAACACUGGGACUGAGACACGGCCCAGACUCCUACGGGAGGCAGCAGUGAGGAAUCUUGGACAAUGGGGAAACCCUGAUCCAGCCAUGCCGCGUGAACGAUGAAGGCCUUAGGGUUGUAAAGUUCUUUCGCCUGGGAAGAUAAUGACGGUACCAGGUAAAG